AAAGCUUGACAGACAAUCGCUGGUGGCCUUCGGUGCCACGAGAGGAAAGUCCGGGCUCCACAGGGCAGGAUGCUGGAUAACGUCCAGUCAGCGCGAGUUGAAGGAUAGUGCCACAGAAAUGGACCGCCGAUGGCCGGGUAUUCCCCGGUACAGGCAAGGAUGGAACCGAGGUGUAAGAGACCCCGAGGAACGCUGGUGACUUCGUUCCUGGUAAACCCCAUCUGGAGCAAGACCUAAAGGGACACGGUCACCUCUUCGGAGGAGACAGCCUUAGCCCGAGGUGUGUCUAGGUUGGUCGCUUGAGCUGUGCAGCAAUGUACGGCCUAGAUAGAUGAUUGUCGCUUCUGGUGGGAGGGUAGUUCCCGUUUGAACCACGAAGAGCACAGAACCCGGCUUACGGUAAGCUUUCCUA
rnacentral:RNase_P_RNA from 1 species